AACGAACGCUGGCGGCAUGCCUAACACAUGCAAGUCGAACGAGACCUUCGGGUCUAGUGGCGCACGGGUGCGUAACGCGUGGGAACCUGCCCUUAGGUUCGGAAUAACUCCCCGAAAGAGGUGCUAAUACCGGAUAAUGUCUUCGGACCAAAGAUUUAUCGCCUUUGGAUGGGCCCGCGUUGGAUUAGCUAGUUGGUAGGGUAAAAGCCUACCAAGGCGACGAUCCAUAGCUGGUCUGAGAGGAUGAUCAGCCACACUGGGACUGAGACACGGCCGAGACUCCUACGGGAGGCAGCAGUGGGGAAUAUUGGACAAUGGGCGAAAGCCUGAUCCAGCAAUGCCGCGUGAGUGAUGAAGGCCUUAGGGUUGUAAAGCUCUUUUACCCGGGAUGAUAAUGACAGUACCGGGAGAAUAAGCUCCGGCUAACUCCGUG
rnacentral:rRNA from 1 species